rnacentral:snRNA from 1 species
GGCCUCCCCUGGCAGGGGAGAUACCAUGAUCACGAAGGUGGUUUUCCCAGGGUGAGGCUCAUCCAUUGCACUGCGGGUGUGCUGACCCCUGCGAUUUCCCCAAAUGCGGGAAACUCAACUGCAUAAUUUGUGGUAGUGGGGGACUGCAUAAUUUGGGGGGAGGGAUAGCUCAGU